rnacentral:rRNA from 1 species
CCAAUAGCGUAUAUUAAAGUUGUUGCAGUUAAAAAGCUCGUAGUUGAAUUUCGGGAUCAGUACGCUGGUCAUGCCUUUGGUAUGCACUGGUGUCACUGGUUUCUCCCUUCUGAAGAACCGUGAUGUCAUUAAUUUGGUGUCGCGGGGAAUCAGGACUGUUACUUUGAAAAAAUUAGGGUGUUUAGAGCAGGCUCACGCUUGAAUACAUUAGCAUGGAAUAAUGAAAUAGGACGUUUGACCCUAUUUUGUUGGUUUCUAGGAUCGACGUAAUGAUUAAUAGGGAUAGUUGGGGGCAUUAGUAUUCAAUUGUCAGAGGUGAAAUUCUUGGAUUUAUUGAAGACUAACUACUGCGAAAGCAUUUGCCAAGGAUGUUUUCAUUAAUCAAGAACGAAAGUUAGGGGAUCGAAGACGAUCAGAUACCGUCGUAGUCUUAACCAUAAACUAUGCCGACUAGGGAUCGGAUGAUGUUAAUUUUAUAAUGACUCAUUCGGCGCCUUACG